rnacentral:lncRNA from 1 species
UGAUUUUGGGUUUAGGUUUAAGGAGAGAGUUUGAGUGUGUUUGGACAAAAUUUCUAGGGGCUGCUAGCUUGUCCAAAUGAGGGGGAAAUAGUGUUCUAUUUAUAGGGCAAGCAUGUGGGAUGGUGUGUGUAAAAACGGAAUCACUUUGUGUAAAAAAAAAUGAAAGUAAUUGUUGUUGUCCGCACAGGUGUAACAGUUACCAGGAUUUGGGUAACCAGUUACACAAACUACAAUUUGCCUUGGAAAUCUGCUGAAAG